ensembl:lncRNA LINC01936 long intergenic non-protein coding RNA 1936
GACGCCUACCCCGCCUGAGCCAGAGGAAGGGAGGAAAACAAUAGCAAAAACCAGGACCCUUCGGACUUGCCGCUGAAUGGGGAUUUUCGUCGGAUGUUGAGUUUACCUGGAAUGCCCCGGUGUUAUUUUGGGAAGGCAGACAUCCCACGGAAACAAUGAAGUGGAAAAGAAAACAGCUAAAGCAAAAUCUAGAGCCCAGUUUUUGCCAAACCAGCCCCACGUGGGCUGGGCAGGCUCUGGAAGCCCAAGUCAGGCCGAUGAAGAGCGGCUGAGGCCGUGGGGAUCUGGUUUACCAGGAGGGCACAUGGAGGAUGCAAGAAAAGGAAGAGCCGUAUUCAAGUCCCCACUUCAGUGAUGAGGCAGAAAGACCCUGCGCCUGACCACGUGGGAACAGCCUGCAGUGAGCGGUGACGCCGCCUGGCUUGAGCUAAGUGCUGGGCUCCACCAUUCAUUGGCUGAGUGACCUUAGAUGAGAAGAGAAUGAGCCAUGUGUUUCCUGAAACAUCCAGUGGCCUCACCGGAGAAUCUGCAAGAGCCGGUAAACCCAGAAGCUUGGCCGUCCAUUCCUGGAAGCAGACAUUGUGUCUUCGUCCACCAAGCCCCUGGCUCUCAACACUCACUGUGGUGGCAAGAACAUGGCACCUUGACCCUACACAGUUCUUCCAUUUUUCAGAAGCAGCCACGGAAGUGCUGGAAAGGCACCAAGCCUCCUCUCGGUUUGCAGUGAAACGCUCCUCUUCCGUCUGAGGGCUAUCGUUCCAGCAGAGAUCAACACAAUGGACUCUGGGAUGGACAUUGUUCUCCAACAGGCCUGGCCCUGGCCCAGCUGGGGUGAGCAUUUCCUUUGCAGCAUUCCAAGAGGCGACAGUCCCAAAAGAUAAUUAAAAAUCAGCUAGCGGUGGUGACCAAGAGAAAGGCACUGAGCCCUCCGAGUGUGGAGAUAGGGCAUCCCGGGUUAUUAAUUAAGUGUGCUCACAUUUGCAUGGUGUAGAGGACAAUUAUCAAGCUGGAGCUGUCAGCUUUAAAUGCUGUUUGCAUUUCUGGAUGACUUUUUGGCGAAGAGGGUCAGGGAGGCUCUCUAAAGUCAUUUUUGGGAGUCUGGAGGAAUAGUUAGCAAUUCGCACUUCACCUCGUUUUACCCUGCAACUCCAUGGAAAUUCCAGAAAGUCUUGGUUUUAAUGGUCUCUUGCAUAGGCCCAUGACAUGGGUCAUCUCUCUCCUACCUCCUUCCAUGCUGAACAAAUGGAAAGGCAUGUAACAUAGUGUGGCAAGGACUUAGGAGUCCAGAAGCUCCCAGAUGUGUGCACCUGUGGAAUCCGCCACCACACCCUCCACACACCAGCCUCUGCAACCAGACAGAGAGAGGAGAGGUAAGGGGUGAGGAUGUGAUUGAUUUCCAUCCUCGGCCCUCCAAGGAGGAGGCUGCCAAAGAAAACAAAGGCCACUGCAGGGGGGCAGCUCGUGGUGACAACCUGCACUGGGGCCGGAGGGCAGCCAGCAUGGCACCUGGAUCUGAUCAAGAUGAAGUUUUCAUCCCCAUCUGCCUGUUAAUGUCUUCUUUACCAGUUGCCACCCCCUAAUAAGGGGUAUGCCGUAGACUGGAAGUCACUAGGGACCUGCCCAGCAUCCUGUUCUAGGCAUUGACUAAUCCACUCUCCUACAUCCUGCCUCCCAUCCACAUGGUCCAAUCAGAGGCUGCCAUGCUUGCACAAUGUGACACUGUCUCUAUGGACACAUUAAUUGGUCCUGAUGUAGAACUUGACCCAAGAUCAGGGUCAAGUUGAGAGAAGACUUAUUUUCUUUCCAGGUGUUUCAAUAACAUGUAAAACUUGGAAUUCGAUAGCAGCCAUCUUCUGCCAUGAGAAUUGGGAAGAGAGAAAGCCUAUAGUGAUAAUAAAGUCAAAUUAUCCUAAACGCUAA